rnacentral:lncRNA from 1 species
AGAGAUUGAAACACGCUUUACGUACCUAAAAAUACCCUAAAAAUCCCAAAAUCAGUGUUAAAAACCUUUUCUAGCCAAUUUUAAAAUUCCAACACGGUGGCACCGCCAUGCUCUGAUGACGGCACCGCCGCCCACAGUGGCAGUUUGCCUCGGAUUGGUUGUUUUUGGCUAAUUUUGGCUAGUUUUAUAUUAUCUAUGGGAGAAAACACAUUAGGGGAUCUCGGUUGGCGGAAAAAGUCAAAAAAUAAAACUUACCGGCGGCGGGAUUUUCU